rnacentral:lncRNA from 1 species
GCUAUGGGGCAGUUAUGGGGUCUAUGGGGUGGAUGUGGGGGGCUAUGGGGCAGUUAUGGGGUGGCUGUGGGGGCCAUGGGGCCUAUGGGGCAGAUAUGGAGGGCUAUGGGAUGGCUAUGGGAUGGGUAUGGGGGGCUAUGGGAUGGAUAUGGGGCAGCUAUGGGGUGGCUGUGGGGGCCAUGUGGCCUAUGGGGCAGAUAUGGAGGGGUAUGGGAUGGAUAUGGGGCGCUAUGGGGCGGAUAUGGGAUGGAUAUGGGGUCUGGGUGUGGAUAUGGGGGGACACAGGGGGCUAUGGGGCAACUAUGGGGGCCAUGGGGGGCUGUGGGGUGGAUAUGGGGGUCUAUGGGGCAGGUAUGGAGGGCUAUGGGAUGAAUAUGGGGCAGAUAUAGGGCAGUUAUGGGGUGGCUGUGGGGGCCAUGGGGUCUAUGGGGCAGAUACGGAGGGCUAUGGGAUGGAUAUGGGUGGCUAUGGGGGUCUAUGGGGCAGGUAUGGAGGGCUAUGGGAUGGAUAUGGGUGGCUAUGGGGGUCUAUGGGGCAGAUACGGAGGGCUAUGGGAUGGCUAUGGGUGUCUAUGGGGCAGAUACGGAGGGCUAUGGGAUGGCUAUGGGAUGGGUAUGGGGGGCUAUGGGAUGGGUAUGGGGGGCUAUGGGAUGGGUAUGGGUGGCUAUGGGGCAGCUAUGGGGCAGCUAUGGGGGUCUAUGGGGCAGGUAUGGAGGGCUAUGGGAUGGAUAUGGGUGGCUAUGGGGGUCUAUGGGGCAGAUACGGAGGGCUAUGGGAUGAAUAUGGGGCAGAUAUAGGGCAGCUAUGGGGUGGCUAUGGGAUGGCUAUGGGGCGGCUAUGGGGCAGCUAUGGGGCAGCUAUGGGGCAGCUAUGGGUCAUCUCUAGGUGA